rnacentral:lncRNA from 1 species
GCUCAGUCUUUGGGUCCAUGCUGCCUUUAUGAGUUGUAACACUCACCCGGAAGGUCUGCAGCUUCACUCCUGAGACCAGGAGCCCACCGGGAGGGAAAGAGCAACUCCAGACACGCUGCCUUAAGAGCUGUAACACUCACUGUGAAAGGCUGCAGCUUCACUCCUCAGCCAGCGACACCACAAACCCGCCAGAAGGAAGAAACGCCGAACACAUCCGAACAUCAGAAGGAACAAAUUCCAGACAUGCUGCCUUUAAAGAACUGUGACACUCACCGUGAGGGUCCGUGGCUUCAUUCUUGAAGUCACUGAGACCAAGAACCUACUAAUUCUGGAGACAGCAGGACGGGGAGUUAGUCCACGUGAAACCCAUCUGGUUUUACUAAUUGGCUCUUACUGACGACUAAAAAGGAGGAAGAAGAGCUUUCUCUGGAAAUGAAAUCAAGCAGCUUUCCUUGUAUUGAAAGGAAAGCGGCUGAAGACAGAGUGUUCCAAGAACCAAGAGAAUGAAUGUGGCUGAUGUGUGGAGAGAAGAGAUGGACCAAGAUGAGACUGGAAAGUCUACUGCUGGGGCUGUUAACCAAACCCAACUCAUAAAGCAGAGGAUAAGAGAUCUUUUGACACAGUCUGGAAAAGGUAGGCUCUCUGGCAUCUGUGUAUAGCUC